AAUCUAAUAUAAUUAGGAAUCCUACUCUAAUUAAUAUUUAAAUCUUAAUUAAUUUAUCUCCAAUAGAUUUAAAUAUUAAUCCUAAUUCAGCUAGAAAUCAACUACAAAUCUAACCAAAUCCUAAUAAUCUCCACCUUGAUUUGAUUUAUAGUCUUCAGGAGCUGCUUCACCUUGAGCUUGUCUCCUCCGCUCGCUGUCGCCGCAUUCGCCACUCCACUUUGAGCAACUACACCUCUGCGAACUUUUGAAACCCAAACUGAUUUUUCUCAUAUUUUGACUAUGCUACCGUUCAGAACAUAUA
rnacentral:lncRNA from 1 species